rnacentral:lncRNA from 1 species
CGGGGCUGGGGCGGGGGCGGCCGCGCGGCUCGCUUCGCCUCACCGUGUGUUCGUGCUCGUCAGACCGAGCCCGGGGCAGCAGCAGCAACAACAACGCGGCGGCCGCCGCCACGCCAGGAGCGCCCGGCAGCGGCCUCAUCCUCCGCGCUCCCACAGGCCGGGCGCCGGCCCACCGACUCCUCCUCCGCCGCCGCCGCCGAUUCACAUCCACCGGGCGCGGACAGACGCACGGGGCCCGGGCACAGCCGCUGCCUCCGCCGCCGUCACCGCCCGCUCCGCGCCGCCCCCGCCCCCCGGCCUCCGAGCCUCUUCCUCUGACUCAGCCACGUCAUCCGGCCACCCCGGCACACGCCGGAAGUCCUCCCGACGCGGGGCCGCAACCGUCGCCGGCCGUGGGGCGCCGGCGCGCGCAGGCCGCGGGGUUGAAGGGUUCCGAGUCGCCGCUGCUGUGCUGCUUGCUCAGCCUCGGCCUGGACCUGGGCCUGGGCCCUUGCGCGCCCGGCUGCGGGCGGGCUGGGGUGACAUCGGCUCAGGCGCCUAGCUCGCCACGGCGUGCGUGAACACCCCUUCCCUCUAACCUCGGGCUCCGCAAGCUUCUUUAUGGACGAUGAUUAUUAAACUUGGACAGGGUCGGUUGGGUGUUUAAACAUCACCGUGUACUGUUUAUAGACUUCUAUGCAAUCAAGAGAUCUGGGCUAAGUUGACAUUCUUGUUCAUCUGCCUACGUAUUGUUUUUCUCAGCCUCAAUCAUAAAUGUGUCCGGAAGUUCCUCAGCACUCCAAUCACUUGAUCUCAUAUUCUGUAUCUGAGCCGGUAGUAAUAAGGAGCUAAGUUUGGUAUCUUACUCUUGUAAGCCCCAGCAUUCGGGAAGCUGGACUGAUUGUUGUUUAUUGCAUACUUGCUUGGGUUACAGCGUGAGACAAAAGAAGAAAAGAAAACAAAACGAAAUAAUCGGGUCAUAGCGGUGCAGGCAUGUAAUCCCGGCACCAGGACCGCAGAGGCAGAAUUGCAGAAAGAUUGGAGCCAACCUUAUCUACAGGCUCAGUACCAAGCCUGCCAGGCUACGUAGCAAGGCCCCAUCUCAAACCAAAACGUACUACGGACUCAGAAAUGAUCAGAAGGACACUUCUCUAAAUGUGGGACUUAGAGGAAGAUUGUCUCAUCCAUCCGUAUCAGACUAACUUCAUUCCUUGACACGUGGAAGCCAGAAGUGGGAGCAUUGAAAAUACACCUCUCAGCCUCCUCCUGUAACUGUUUUACUAGGACCCAGUUAUGCUUAGAGAACUGAGAAC